GAAGGUGGCCUGUGAGGGUUGCUGGAGGUAUCAGAAGUGCGAAUGCUGACAUAAGUAACGAUAAAGCGGGUGAAAAGCCCGCUCGCCGGAAGACCAAGGGUUCCUGUCCAACGUUAAUCGGGGCAGGGUGAGUCGACCCCUAAGGCGAGGCCGAAAGGCGUAGUCGAUGGGAAACGGGUUAAUAUUCCCGUACUUGGUGUUACUGCGAAGGGGGGACGGAGAAGGCUAUGUUGGCCGGGCGACGGUUGUCCCGGUUUAAGCGUGUAGGUGUGUGUUCCAGGUAAAUCCGGUUCACUUUAACACUGAGGCGUGACGACGAGGCACUACGGUGCUGAAGCAACAAAUGCCCUGCUUCCAGGAAAAGCCUCUAAGCAUCAGGUAACAUCAAAUCGUACCCCAAACCGACACAGGUGGUCAGGUAGAGAAUACCAAGGCGCUUGAGAGAACUCGGGUGAAGGAACUAGGCAAAAUGGUGCCGUAACUUCGGGAGAAGGCACGCUGACAUGUAGGUGAAGUGAUUUACUCAUGGAGCUGAAGUCAGUCGAAGAUACCAGCUGGCUGCAACUGUUUAUUAAAAACACAGCACUGUGCAAACACGAAAGUGGACGUAUACGGUGUGACGCCUGCCCGGUGCCGGAAGGUUAAUUGAUGGGGUCAGCGCAAGCGAAGCUCCUGAUCGAAGCCCCGGUAAACGGCGGCCGUAACUAUAACGGUCCUAAGGUAGCGAAAUUCCUUGUCGGGUAAGUUCCGACCUGCACGAAUGGCGUAAUGAUGGCCAGGCUGUCUCCACCCGAGACUCAGUGAAAUUGAACUCGCUGUGAAGAUGCAGUGUACCCGCGGCAAGACGGAAAGACCCCGUGAACCUUUACUAUAGCUUGACACUGAACAUUGAGCCUUGAUGUGUAGGAUAGGUGGGAGGCUUUGAAGUGUGGACGCCAGUCUGCAUGGAGCCGACCUUGAAAUACCACCCUUUAAUGUUUGAUGUUCUAACGUGGACCCGUUACCCGGGUUGCGGACAGUGUCUGGUGGGUAGUUUGACUGGGGCGGUCUCCUCCUAAAGAGUAACGGAGGAGCACGAAGGUUGGCUAAUCCUGGUCGGACAUCAGGAGGUUAGUGCAAUGGCAUAAGCCAGCUUGACUGCGAGCGUGACGGCGCGAGCAGGUGCGAAAGCAGGUCAUAGUGAUCCGGUGGUUCUGAAUGGAAGGGCCAUCGCUCAACGGAUAAAAGGUACUCCGGGGAUAACAGGCUGAUACCGCCCAAGAGUUCAUAUCGACGGCGGUGUUUGGCACCUCGAUGUCGGCUCAUCACAUCCUGGGGCUGAAGUAGGUCCCAAGGGUAUGGCUGUUCGCCAUUUAAAGUGGUACGCGAGCUGGGUUUAGAACGUCGUGAGACAGUUCGGUCCCUAUCUGCCGUGGGCGCUGGAGAACUGAGGGGGGCUGCUCCUAGUACGAGAGGACCGGAGUGGACGCAUCACUGGUGUUCGGGUUGUCAUGCCAAUGGCACUGCCCGGUAGCUAAAUGCGGAAGAGAUAAGUGCUGAAAGCAUCUAAGCACGAAACUUGCCCCGAGAUGAGUUCUCCCUGAGACUUAGAGUCUCCUGAAGGAACGUUGAAGACGACGACGUUGAUAGGCCGGGUGUGUAAGCGCAGCGAUGCGUUGAGCUAACCGGUACUAAUGAACCGUGAGGCUUAACC
rnacentral:rRNA from 1 species